GCCUUCGUGGUGUAAUGGUCAGCACACUGAGCCGGUAUUUCAGAGGUCCGCGGUUCGAUCCCCGUCGAAGGCA
rfam:Stegodyphus mimosarum contig108315, whole genome shotgun sequence.